rnacentral:lncRNA from 1 species
AUAAACUCUUUAAGAAAUAUUCAUAAACUGUUCAAUUGUUACGUGAAAAAUACCCCAUAACUUAAAAGUUAUAACCAGUUGGUAAAAAAACACACACAUUGAAGGUUCUAUGCAUGUUCUAAGUUAUUAUGUUGAACGCAUUAAUUAAAAAAUAUAUGCUACUUUGCAUAAUUUAUAUUUUUAUAUAAAACAUCUUCUUAUUGCUUUAAAGAAGUU